rnacentral:rRNA from 1 species
GAUGAACGCUGGCGGCGUGCCUAAUACAUGCAAGUCGAGCGAACAGACGAGGAGCUUGCUCCUCUGACGUUAGCGGCGGACGGGUGAGUAACACGUGGAUAACCUACCUAUAAGACUGGUAUAACUUCGGGAAACCGGAGCUAAUACCGGAUAAUAUAUUGAACCGCAUGGUUCAAUAGUGAAAGACGGUUUUGCUGUCACUUAUAGAUGGAUCCGCGCCGCAUUAGCUAGUUGGUAAGGUAACGGCUUACCAAGGCAACGAUGCGUAACCGACCUGAGAGGGUGAUCGGCAACCUUGGAGCUGGGCCAGGGUCAAGACUCCUAAGGGAGGCAGCAGUAGGGAAUCUUCCGCAAUGGGCGAAAGCUUGACGGAGCAACGCCGCGUGAGUGAUGAAGGUCUUCGGAUCGUAAAAAUCUGUUAUUAGGGAAGAACAAAUGUGUAAGUAACUAUGCACGUCUUGACGGUACCUAAUCAGAAAGCCACGGCUAACUACGUG